GGAUCCGUUGCCCAGCCAGGAUAAGGCACUGCCCUCCUAAGGCAGUGAUCGCAGGUUCGAAUCCUGCCGGAUCCG
rnacentral:tRNA from 1 species